CCUACGGGGUGCAGCAGUGAGGAAUAUUGGUCAAUGGGCGUAAGCCUGAACCAGCCAAGUCGCGUGAGGGAAGAAGGUUCUAUGGAUCGUAAACCUCUUUUAUAAGGGAAUAAAGUGUGGGACGUGUCCUGUUUUGUCUGUACCUUAUGAAUCAGGAUCGGCUAACUCCGUGCCAGCAGCCGCGGUAAUCCGGAGGUGCCGGGCGUUAUCUGGAUUUAUGGGGUUUAAAGGUUAAGUAGGGGGAGGUUUAAGCCAGCGGUGAAAGACUGUGGCACAACCAUAGAAGUGCCGUUGAAACUGGAAGGCGUGAGUAUGUUUGGGGCAGGCGGAAUGCGUGGUGUAGCGGUGAAAUGCUUAGAUA
rnacentral:rRNA from 1 species